AUUCUCCAUCUGAAGGAACCAAUCGGUGUUAAUUUCAUUUCCAUUUUCACAGGGUUAUGGUCGGAGCAAGUUUUUGGACAGAUUUCCACCUUUUGAAUCUUGGGUGCCAUCCCUCUUGUGAUCCAAAUUUGGUCAAUUCGUGUCCAGGUCAAAUGGGCUUUCUGCCGUCUCAGAGGAGGACAUUUCCCUUUUUCUUUUAGGGUCCACUGUGCUUUGAAGAUGUUGCUGUUCAUUUCACGGACGAGGAGUGGGCGUUGCUGGAUCCUGACCAGAGAGCUCUGCAUAAGGACGUCAUGGAGGAGAAUUGGGGGAUCGUGUCCUCUCUUGAUUGUGAUGAAUUGGAAAGCAAGAACAAAGG